AUUAUAGGUCUUUUUAUUGGAUACACAACUGCAUUUUGGAUAGGAAUUGGAUCUCAGUUUUAUCCUCGACCUUAUGACUUUAGUCCACCAUUACCUAUUUCAAUUGAAAACUGUACUGAAGCUAGGACCAUAUAUCAUAAUUGGACUAGGGUCCUGGAACCACCAGUCCUAAUACCAUGGAAAGCAACUUUGAAAAGUUAUCAAAUGUUAAACUUGUACUGGAUUUCUCACAUGUAUAUAAGUAUGAUUGGGGCAAUGACAACCAUAUUGACAGGAUCAAUUGCCAGCAUUGCAACAGGUGGAAUACACCAGGAUAUUAAGAAAAAAUUAUUACUAAUGAAAGAAGACACAAUACUUUGUUAUUUCAAAAAAGAAGAUGAAGUAGAAGGUUCAGAAAUCACUCAAUUAGCAUGAACACACUGGAAGAAGCUGACAUACCACCUUAAAAAAAUUAAAAGAAAUAAACUAAAAGAAAUAUGAUUUCUUUUGAUUGAGGCAACUCUGAAUGGGUGAAUCCUGUAAAAUGCAUUAUUUUUAUAUUUCCUACAAUAACUAUCAAAUUCAAUCUUCCUAU